GGGUAGAUGAUUGAUAUAGAUGAUAGAGAAACAGAUGACAAAUGGAUGAUGUAUAGAUAGAUGAUAUAUGGGUAGAUAAUAAAUAGGAAGGUAGAUGAUAGGUAGUUGGAUAAUAGAUUGGUAGAUGAUAGAUAGGAAGAUAGAUGAUAGAUGGAUGAUAAAUGGGUAGGUGAUGGAUGGAUAAAUGAUAACUACAUAGACAGAUGGUAAACAAAUAAUGAUACAUUGGUAGAUAGAUUAUUUUAAAAGUUAAAAGCACAUUAAUAAUAGAAUGGACCCUUGGGUCGUGUUGAAACACAGCCAUGUACUUCUCCUUAAACAUUUGCCUCACAUGUCGUGAAAAAGUUGUUGUGGAGAAGGGAUGAUACCUAGAUACCUACCUCAUCCACCUGACAGUGAAUCCCACAAGAAGGUGUUAGCACUGUGCUGCAGGUUCAUCCAGCCUAACACACAACGAAGGAGGCGAUACUCAAACCAUAUGCCAUCCAAACAUUGAAGGAGUCAAGCAAAUGCUCCUUUGUGUGUCCAUUAAGUACUAACUGUAGCUACAGAAGCCCAGGGCAGGCUGUACUGAAACUCAAAAGCAAAGGCACCUUUGAGUGAACCAACUGGAAAAACUAAGGGCCCUGAAAUGCUUCCUCUGAACUUUUGAUAUAUAACAAACAAAUCAUUCAAGUUCCAGCAAUUGCUUAUUUGAUAGAUUGUGUGUGUUCAGUGGCAAAAGGAAAGUACAAGUGAAUUCUAAACAAGAAACUGCAGUGGAGUUAUUGGUUCAUUAUAAGUGUUCCAGGGGGAAUGUCUGGUCCCUGAGCCUGGAAGUUGUACAUAAGCCACCAUCUUCUAUAGAAGCAGAAAACCAGUGCUGCAAACUCCACCAUGAAUACAGUGGAAUAAGGUAUGCAUCAUUUAUCCAGUUAAAGAUAGGAUAAGUCUUAUGGUGCCCUAGAUGACACUAGCUCCUAACUGUGUCUUUUGACUGAUUAUCAUUGUUAAAGGGGGGUUUGGAAGAGUUGAAACCCGAGGUUGACAUGGAUGGAGUUCUAACCAUUUGAUCACUGGCAGGGGUUUCUUUUCCUUCAGUUUCUAAGAGAGAGGACCUCAAGGGUCCUAUUCAAUGCAGAUAAAGUGUCUUUGUGGAAGUAUGGACAAAUCACAAGCAGUUAGCAAUGCCCAGAUUAAUAACAGGGCUUUGAUAAGUUUUCAUUGUGAGCUUGAUAUAAUCUAGAUUGGCCUGGGGGCAGAGGUUGUCUAGAAUAACUUCAUUGACAUGGGAAGACUCAGUCUAAAAGUGGGCAGCACCGUUGCCAGGUUUGGGUUCUGGACUAUGUGAGGAUGGAGAGAUAGCUGAACACUAGACAUUUGUGCAUCCGUUCUUCUGUACUCUUGACAGUGGAUGUGAUGUUUGAGCGACUUUAAGUUCCUGUUGCUGUAGCUUCCCCAUGCUGAUAGACUGCAACCUGGGAUCAUAAGCUAAAAUGAACCUCUUCUCCCCUAAAUUGCUUUAGGUCAGGGUAUUUUAGCACAUCAGCAGAAUUGGAAACUCAGGCAGACCAUUUGGCAUUUGUUUUAGGACCUGGGUUAAGCAUGUUCUGAGAUACAGUUACAUCUUCACUCACUCACUUGGUUUUUCUGAGUCUUUACAUAAUUGUAGUUGGUGAAAAACUGUACAAACAAGCAGGAAAAGAGAAGUAACUCACACGUGAGCCCUUUGCUUCUUGAAGUCUCCAAGAAAAGAAACAUACAUGGAUCAAGAGGUGGGAUAUGAGGAAUCUACCACUGUUGUGGUAUUUACUGUUUGAAUGAAGUCAUUUAAUCAGCACCAGGAGAACUGCAGGCCUGAUACCACCAGCCCAUGAAAAAGCUUCACAAAACACCAUGGCUGAUCUCUGGGGCAGGGAUGCAAUUCUUCUCUUCAAGGGGAAUAAUAUGACCACACUCCCAUUAUUGCCUCUCAGUGGGCCAUAGGCGAAGCCCAUGAUCCAGUACAGUCAACCAGAGAGCCCUCAUCCCCACGUGGCACAUAGUUAAACUCCCAUGGGCCAGCUAUGGAAGCCGAGUUAGCCAGAAUAAGCGGGCACUCCACGACUCGGGUUAUAAAUGUUGGGGUGAAGAUGGGCUACUCUCUGAUGACAUGGGCGAUGACGCAGAGGGUGCGUGACCCAAGCUUCAGGUUACUGGAGCAACAGGACAAUGAUGAAGACAGACUCACGAGUCCCAGAGGAGCAAAGACUUAUGGAGAACAGGACUUCUCAUGAGGACUUCAGCUUCUGCAUGCUACCCCACCUGAAACCCCACAUCCGUCUCCGUGCGUGAGAGAGUAAAUGACAUGUGUUCUGCCACUUAUGCUUCAGUGAACCCCACCUGAUUAAUGCAAGAAAAGUUUGUGCAACAAUGAUAACAGAGUCGGGUAUUUUCAGCUGACACUUGGAUUUUUUUUUCAGCAUCCAAUAUUUAAUGCUCAUCACUAUUUGAACCAGAGCGUGGACUGUUAUCUUCAGUUUACAGAUAAGCACAAUGUAGCUUGGGGUUGUGACAUCCCACUGGCUGAGCUGAAAGCUGUUCACACCCCGAGCCACAUCUGACCUCCAUCUUUCCUCUAUUAAGCCUUACACACCCUCUAGGUUAAUAUUAAUAUCCUGAAAUUGUGGAUAAGGACAUUUAAGCACACAACUAGACCUUGCUAGUAGGUAACCAAGUGUUGUUGACAAAUAAAAGGGUGGCCCACUGUCUUCUCAAGCUUUUAAUCCA